rnacentral:rRNA from 1 species
GAUUAAUGCUAGUGGCGUGCCUUAUGCAUGCAAGUCGAACGGUUCUGAUUUAUCAGGAUAGUGGCAAACGGGUGAGUAACACGUAAGCAACCUACCCCGAAGUACAGAAUAACCUGCCGAAAGGUGGACUAAUACUGUAUAUGGUAUCCCUUCGCAUGGAGGGCUACUAAAGGCUUCGGUCGCUUUGGGAGGGGCUUGCGUCCGAUUAGCUAGUUGGUAGGGUAACGGCCUACCAAGGCGAUGAUCGGUUGCUGGUUUGAGAGAAUGACCAGCCACACUGGGACUGAGACACGGCCCAGACUCCUACGGGUGGCUG